rnacentral:rRNA from 1 species
UGAAGAAUAUUGGGCAAUGCCCGCAAGGGUGACCCAGCAACGCCGCGUGGAGGAUGAAUGUCGUAAGAUUGUAAACUCCUGUUAGAGGGGAAGAAUAGUACCGGUUGGACCGGUAUAUGACUGUACCCUCAGAGAAAGCCCCGGCUAACUACGUGCCAGCAGCCGCGGUAAUACGUAGGGGGCAAGCGUUGUCCGGAUUUACUGGGUGUAAAGGGCGCGCAGGCGGGAUAAAAAGUCAGUGGUGAAAUCCUACAGCUUAACUGUAGAACUGCCUUUGAUACUUUUAUUCUUGACUUCGGGAGAGAGAGACGGAAUUCCAGGUGUAGUGGUGAAAUACGUAGAUAUCUGGAAGAACACCAGUUGCGAAGGCGGUCUCUUGGUCCGACACUGACGCUGAGGCGCGAAAGCGUGGGGAGCAAACA